rnacentral:rRNA from 1 species
CCCUCCCUCUUUCUUCAUGCCUAACACAUGCAAGUCGAACGAGACCUUCGGGUCUAGUGGCGCACGGGUGCGUAACGCGUGGGAACCUGCCUUUAGGUUCGGAAUAACUCAGAGAAAUUUGAGCUAAUACCGGAUGAUGUCUUCGGACCAAAGAUUUAUCGCCUUUAGAUGGGCCCGCGUUGGAUUAGCUAGUUGGUGGGGUAAAGGCCUACCAAGGCGACGAUCCAUAGCUGGUCUGAGAGGAUGAUCAGCCACACUGGGACUGAGACACGGCCCAGACUCCUACGGGAGGCAGCAGUGGGGAAUAUUGGACAAUGGGCGAAAGCCUGAUCCAGCAAUGCCGCGUGAGUGAUGAAGGCCUUAGGGUUGUAAAGCUCUUUUACCCGAGAUGAUAAUGACAGUAUCGGGAGAAUAAGCUCCGGCUAACUCCGUG